UACGUAGGGUGCAAGCGUUAAUCGGAAUUACUGGGCGUAAAGCGUGCGCAGGCGGUUUCGCAAGUCAGAUGUGAAAUCCCCGGGCUUAACCUGGGAACUGCGUUUGAAACUACGAGGCUAGAGUGUGUCAGAGGGGGGUAGAAUUCCACGUGUAGCAGUGAAAUGCGUAGAGAUGUGGAGGAAUACCGAUGGCGAAGGCAGCCCCCUGGGAUAACACUGACGCUCAUGCACGAAAGCGUGGGGAGCAAACAGG
rnacentral:rRNA from 1 species